GUGACUCUUGAUCUGUUGGUGACUUGGUUCAGAAGAAUGGGUUCCAGAUGACUUUGGGUUCCAGAUGACUCUGAUUUAUGGUUCCGAAUUCAUGCCGAAGCUCUGAUCCUGUGCCUUGAGAUACACAGCCAACCAGUCGUGUUUGCACCAUUUGCAUCAUAGCAUGUUUAUUUUCAAAAAAAUAAUGCAAUAAAAAAAAGAAAAAAAAAUGAAAAAAGGAGAAAAGAAAAA
rnacentral:lncRNA from 1 species